ACAGUCCUUUUUUUCCUCCCCCACCCUCAGGGUGGGUAUUGGUUGGAUUGUUUGGUCGCCAACGCACAAUGAUGAGGCACGGGGGUCGCAGCCCCCAGAUUGUGAUGUCUCGGGGUGCGGUGGACCUGGUGACGCAGGCCAGGGUGCUCCAGGAGCUGGUCCAGGAUGUCUGCCCCUUCCCCAUCCUGCCCCUCUGAGACCCUUCCAGUUGCAAUAGGAACCCAUCCUAUGCCUGGAUCACCUCCCUACUAAAUGCAGCCAAGCCCUCCCUGCCCAUUCCUGAUCCCGGAGGACUAUGGAAAGUGAGUGAUGGGCGAAGUAGUGUAGAGAUGGAGUUUCCAUAGGGGCGGGAAUCGAGGGUGGAAGUUAUUCCUUCCUUGAUUUAGAUUAAAGGCCACUUCCGGUUCUGCCCAGCCGUUGGGAGAAACAACCCCCCUCCCAGGAACGGGUACCUUUGGAGUCUUGGCCACAAGAAACGUAGGGUUUUAUUGAAACCCCAAGGACAGGCUGUGGCCACAGCUCAGAUGGUACUCCAUUUGCUUUGCGUGCCCAAAAGCCUUGGGUUUGAGCCCAUGUGCAACAUAAACCUGGUGUUUGCACACACCUGUAAUCCCAACACUCUGGAGGGGGAGACAGGAGGAGAAGAAGUUCAAGGUCAUUCACAGCUACCUGGAUGAGUUCAAGGCCAUCCUGGGAUACCUGAGACAAAACAGUCCUUUGUGGUUCCCCCUCUGGGCCCCUGUGUCUUUAAACCUGAGAAUUCUGGAUCUUAUCUUGUUUGGGGCUCCACUGGGCCUGUGUAUCUGCAGCCAGGACUCCUUUAUUGGUUAGACAGCAGAAAAUCUGGGAGUUUGUCUAAGGUGAGGGAUGACCUAGGGGUAGGUACCAAGUCCCAGUGUCUUGCUCCCUGUUCAAGUACCACCCCUUUCUGGAUAUCUAAAGCCAUCCAGAAAAUAGAGAAUGCCAUUCAUAUCGUGCAUGCCAGGAAAGAGACAGUAGGCAGAGCUUUCUGAGCACUCAAAUGUACCUAGGCCUGCUGUGGUUAUCACGACCAUUGAAAGCCCAGCAACUCACCAAUGAGCAAGCGAAGAUGGAGGUCCCAGGCCUGUGUCUCCUGAGUAAAGCGGGCCCUGAGGCGGGGAUGAGAAACCUUCAAGUCAUCUGUGUUUAACCCAAUAACCAAUGGAGAUGAGGAUUACAAAUCAAAGGGAACUCCAGAGAGGAAGAAGCCAGUUUGGAGCAAGAAGCCAGUGUGGAGGGGAGGUCACCAAGGGUCCCUAAAGCCUGACCUUGGAGCUGAACCUAAAGGGGAGAGAGACCUGUCCCCACCCCCUGGGGGCAGGCAUCAAGCCAGCCAGCCUGAGUCCCUUGACUACCAUCAGGAAGAGAUGGACACAUCAUGGAAUCAUAUUUAUCAAGGAGACAGGAAGACACAGGCUUAUUUUUUUAAGCCCUUCUAUUGGAAGACCUGCCCAUGGGAGCAUCACCUGCCAAUAUCAUCACAGAAAGCCCAUUGGGGAAAACAGGAAGCUGGCUCCUGUCAGACCUUUGGUCCUGAGGUCAGGCUCAGCCCUCCAGCAUGCGGUCCACAAGGGGCAUUGUGUGUUCCACAACUCUAGCUGCAGGACCUUUUUCAGCAUCAUAACAAGAAGCCACUUCUCCCAAGAGGAUGGAGCCCUCACUUCAGGGCCACAUGGUGUAGGGGUGGUUGUCUGUGCUUCACCCCUGAAGCACCACCCGUAGCAGGCAGUAGAUAACUGCUAGGUACCUGCCCCCACCCGGAGCAUGGCCGAGACAGGGACCCCUUAAGAACUGAAGUGCGUAAGUGCUCACUCUCUCUUGGCUACCUCUUGAUCCUGGAUGCUGGACUGCAGACCAAGUUAGAGUUCUCCAGAGAACCGCGUUGGACUGCACUUCAUCUCUCCUGGAUCCCGUACCCAACUUGCUGUAAGUUUACCAAACUAAACUCCUCUUGACUAUCAGAUAAACUAUGUGGAAUUGCCUCAUUAAUUGUCACUAUAACGUGGUCUCCUCGCUGCAGUGUGAGGACCAGGGUGGAACCUCAAUUCCACUUGAUCCUGACAGGACAUGGGACAACUGUGGGCAGAGAGCAUCUCUGCCCUCACGGCUCAUUGAUUUCACAGCAGAAUCCACCUCCCAGUCCUGUACUGCUCACGGGGCUACUGAGUGCUAAGUGGAGAUACUACAGGAACACACACAUUCAUGACAAGGAGGCAGGAGAUAAGGGUGUGCCAUCUGAACCACAGUGACACUCCGGAGGGAGAUGAGGGGAAGGUGCUUGGGGUGGGUAGGAAUCUAGAGCUGUGGACAAGGGUUGAGAAUCCUCAAGAUGGAAGGGUAUCCAAGCAUGGGCAGGGGGAGCCUGGCUGUGAUG